rnacentral:lncRNA from 1 species
GGCGUGGUCGUUUCCAGCCCGCCCUCCUCCUCCGGUGCCUUGCUGCGGCGUUCCGGGCCAGAUCUCGGAUGGCUUGAGGGGCGGCUUGGAUCGUGGCCCGUGCAGUGCGGCUGCCCUGGUGAGCCCUGAGUUUUCUUAUCCGCGAGACCGUCCAUCUGUAUUCAGAUCUUGAAUGAUAAUUUUUUGCUGCUGCUUUUUUGAUUCAUAUGGUCUUUCGAAUCCGAGCAGGGACUGGUCCUGGGCGAGCAUGCACACGACGCAGCUGUUCGGCGAGUGGAGGUGCCACGGGGAGUGGCGCUGCCUUUCCGAGGACAGGGCAACUUCGA